CUGAAGCAACAAAUGCCCUGCUUCCAGGAAAAGCCUCUAAGCAUCAGGUAACAUCAAAUCGUACCCCAAACCGACACAGGUGGUCAGGUAGAGAAUACCAAGGCGCUUGAGAGAACUCGGGUGAAGGAACUAGGCAAAAUGGUGCCGUAACUUCGGGAGAAGGCACGCUGACACGUAGGUGAAGUGAUUUACUCACGGAGCUGAAGUCAGUCGAAGAUACCAGCUGGCUGCAACUGUUUAUUAAAAACACAGCACUGUGCAAACACGAAAGUGGACGUAUACGGUGUGACGCCUGCCCGGUGCCGGAAGGUUAAUUGAUGGGGUCAGCGCAAGCGAAGCUCCUGAUCGAAGCCCCGGUAAACGGCGGCCGUAACUAUAACGGUCCUAAGGUAGCGAAAUUCCUUGUCGGGUAAGUUCCGACCUGCACGAAUGGCGUAAUGAUGGCCAGGCUGUCUCCACCCGAGACUCAGUGAAAUUGAACUCGCUGUGAAGAUGCAGUGUACCCGCGGCAAGACGGAAAGACCCCGUGAACCUUUACUAUAGCUUGACACUGAACAUUGAGCCUUGAUGUGUAGGAUAGGUGGGAGGCUUUGAAGUGUGGACGCCAGUCUGCAUGGAGCCGACCUUGAAAUACCACCCUUUAAUGUUUGAUGUUCUAACGUGGACCCGUAAUCCGGGUUGCGGACAGUGUCUGGUGGGUAGUUUGACUGGGGCGGUCUCCUCCUAAAGAGUAACGGAGGAGCACGAAGGUUGGCUAAUCCUGGUCGGACAUCAGGAGGUUAGUGCAAUGGCAUAAGCCAGCUUGACUGCGAGCGUGACGGCGCGAGCAGGUGCGAAAGCAGGUCAUAGUGAUCCGGUGGUUCUGAAUGGAAGGGCCAUCGCUCAACGGAUAAAAGGUACUCCGGGGAUAACAGGCUGAUACCGCCCAAGAGUUCAUAUCGACGGCGGUGUUUGGCACCUCGAUGUCGGCUCAUCACAUCCUGGGGCUGAAGUAGGUCCCAAGGGUAUGGCUGUUCGCCAUUUAAAGUGGUACGCGAGCUGGGUUUAGAACGUCGUGAGACAGUUCGGUCCCUAUCUGCCGUGGGCGCUGGAGAACUGAGGGGGGCUGCUCCUAGUACGAGAGGACCGGAGUGGACGCAUCACUGGUGUUCGGGUUGUCAUGCCAAUGGCACUGCCCGGUAGCUAAAUGCGGAAGAGAUAAGUGCUGAAAGCAUCUAAGCACGAAACUUGCCCCGAGAUGAGUUCUCCCUGAGACUUAGAGUCUCCUGAAGGAACGUUGAAGACGACGACGUUGAUAGGCCGGGUGUGUAAGCGCAGCGAUGCGUUGAGCUAACCGGUACUAAUGAACCGUGAGGCUUAACCUU
rnacentral:rRNA from 1 species